rnacentral:lncRNA from 1 species
ACUCUGGCGUGGGCAACCGGCGGUGCGCGCCCUUACCUUUGGGUUCCUGUGGGUCGUGGGCCAGUGUAAACGUGUUAGCCCGCUAGCAGAUCGACACGUUCAUCAAAUCGCCUUCUUUUUUCCUUCCCAACCGGGGGCGUAGCUCCCAAAUCCCAUCAAACCUUGGGAAACAGUGAGGCUAGUCCUUCCUGACCCCAAGUUGACCCAGAACAGGCUGUGAAGGCUGUGGCGCAUGGCCCAUUUAUCCAGGUAAAUGAGAUUAUCUGAUGGUACUGCGAACAAAAUGUCAUGCCCAUUCAUUUCAAAACGAUGUUAUGGAAAACCUUGGUGCAGAAGCUAAAGGCAAAAAACAGUGGGGGAGAAGUAGGGAGCAUGCUUGUGUUUUGACUGUGUUUAAAUACUCUGAGAUACAUUGUUAAUAAAGACAUCAUUUGCCUUUUUAAGGAGCAUCGACCAUGCUCCCUGUUUAUGGUGGUUGGUAAGGGAUGUAAAAUUAUCACAGCAUGAUAGGGGACUAAACUGAGCCCUGUGGGGUUUUUAUUUUGUUCUUAUGUUUCGUUCAAGCAGGUUUGUGGAGGUAAUUCAAAAAACGUAUUCAAGGUGUGAAACAGUGCUUCAUGCUACUUGCUCUUGGCAGAUGUCUUUACUGAGAGGAACAAAAGACUGCCAUUUUAUAAAUGUUGGUUUUCCCCAUACCUAUAACACAUGUGCACAUAAUGAUAGAUUCAAGUAUUUAAAAUACCUUUAAACCACUCUCCACCACAAACUCCCC